GAUGAGAAGAAGAAUAAACCUCAUUCUUGUUCAGAUGUAGCGAUCAAGGAAAAGACUUCUGUCUUAUUGGCUUCAGAUAUGUUAUCAGCACCUAAAGAAUGGAAAGCUGCAUUAAAGGAGGCUUCCCUUGGGAAGAGGGG
ensembl:misc_RNA